CAACCUUCUAAAUCACCCUUCAGUUUCCCAAACUCUCUCUUUUUAGCCAGACGCUCUGAACUGAACAACUAGCAAAAUGAACAGGAAACAACAGCUCCUUCCUGCUCUGCAGCCCCACCCUCCUGCAAGGAACUGGCCUUCUGCAGGGCUGGGUUUGGUUAUGGGCCAGCACCAGCUGAAUGGCAUUCCCAUUUGAGCUUGCGUUACUCACUUGUUGCCAUCACAGUUAAGUAAAAGAUUGAGAGAGCCAUUAUCUCAGCUCAAUCCCAGGAAGCAACACCAGAACAGCAGCUCUGUGGCAGUUGAGGUGGAAAUGUUUUUCUGUUCAAUCUGACUUUCACAGAUUCUCUAAAUUUCACAUGCCUGCUCAGAUUUUCAGGAGUUUUUAUGUGACUCACGAAAGCACAGAGUAUAAAUAAUGAUAUCAGUUUGGGAUAUUGGGGAGGAUAUUUGAGGAAGAACCUUAGCUUUUUUUAUUAUUAUUAGCUUGGUUUUUGUUGUUGUUGUUGUUUUUCACUUGAGAGCACCAAACAUUCUCAUAUAAUCUGAAUUCAUCCCAUCUGCACCCUCUACACAUUUGAGACAGGAAACUGAAGAUGGCAUACAGAAUAAAAGUUACCUUAGUUUACUUAGAUAUAUACAUUGUGUUCAUGAACAGAGAUUUCUUGAUAUGCAAGCAUGAAUUACAUGGACAAGAAGCUUUCAACAGCAUCAGGUCUCAUGUGAGCUCAGGCACCUAAGCAGAUGUCCAGAAGUAGAAGGUCUGUCCCGUAGGGAAGCAGAAUCUGUUAGAGGAAGGGAUGGGGCUGUGCUAAAGCCUGGCUCUGUCAGGGAACAUUUGCUUGAAGGGACAUGCACUAACAAAGCAAGGAAAUCAGAAGGGCUCCAACUACUUUCAAACAGAAAAAAUAAAAUUACAGAGAGGAGAACUCAAACUUCAGAGUAUUAAAGGAUUCGUCAGCGUGAGGGAGGAAAGGAGAGAGGGAGGAUGGGGGAAUGGCAUACAUUGAUAGGCCUAUGGAGCAGAAGAGGUAUUAAAACUCUAUACUAAUUUUACUGUGCACGCAUAUCAAAGUUCCCUACGUUAUUCUUUUACCUAUCCUGUAAGAUAGGUAAAGCUGUAUUCCAGGUGAGCAGAGUGGGGUCAUGCCACAUUCUUUGUCCCUUCUCACGGUUCUUGGAAUCCCAUUGCUACAUUCUACCUUCCUGCUGGUUGCUUGGUAUCUUGGUGCUUAAAAAGCCCACGUGGAAGAGCGGUAUUGGGCACUUUAAUAGUAAAUUUCUGGGCUUUCCCCUGCCCAGCAGUGCACUGUUUGCAUGCAUGCCAGAUCUCCCGUUCUGCCGGUAACUCACCACCUGAAAGGUCUGGCUUUCUGCCUGAGCAGCUACAAAGAAUCAGCCCAGCUGAGGUUCAGUUGCUCACACAGUGAAAGAAUGCAGCAAAUACAUAUCUGUUAUUUCUUUUCUGCUAUUCAUUCCACCUGAGCUUCAAGAAACUCUUGCAUUAAAAUCCUAAGAAUAAGUAAGUGUCAAGAUUGACUUUAGGGUCAGUGCUGCCUGUGGCAAUCUUGUUUUAACCAGUAUAGAUUUUCCUCACUUUAUCAUUGUCCUGAGAGGACUUAUGAGUUGUUUCUCUCUCUCUCUCUCUCUCUCUCUCCCUCCCCCCCCCCCCCCCCCCCCCCCCCCCUUUUUUUUUUCACAUCUAGAGGUCCUUGGGAUGUAUUUGGAUUUUCAUAACAAUUUAAAUAAUUUCCUCAAGACCUUUAAAGCACCUCUUUUCACUUACAUAACAGGUAUUCUUUCAAAGGAAUAACCUCAUUCAAAUGUUGUGGCUCAUUCUCAAAAACACUAGUUGUUCCAAUUUCAAGCUAAAUAGUAUUUAGCAUGCACAGUUUUCCUUUCUACUUCAUUUUCUGGCUCAAAGAUUUUAUGUACUUGCUUAGACUAAAGCAUUUUAGAAAAUUUGCUUUCUGUUCAUUCUUUAUCUUUUGUCCUUUUUCUUUCACAGUGCUUCCAAGAGUUGUAACAAUUCGAUGCUGGUCUUGAUAGUCUCUAUAUAUAUUGGUCUCUAUAGUGCUAUCCUUACAAUCAGACCAGAAAGGACCUCAAAAAGUCUCUUGCCCACUGUUUUCCAAAGACAGGAUCAGAUAUGCACUGUUAACCUCGUAGACAGUUUCAGUAAGGAUAAUUACUUUCUGAUGAGCAAGUCAGUAAGUAUUUCUCGCUGGACAAAGUUGUGGAUUAUUUAUUUCUUGCCCUGUUGGUGAUUAUUUUUAGUAGUUCUCAUAUUUCAUCUGCAGAGUGGAUUGGAACUGGUUCGAGGUGGACUGAAUUAUUCCUGCAUACAAAGGGGUUUGAUUUCAUGCCUGGCAGGAAGCAAUAUAAGCUGGAAAGGAAACUUCUUAAGUGGAGGCAAAUGGAGCCUUGCUAUUUCUUCCGUUGUCAGUAGUGAACACAGACACCUCCACCUGCAAGUCUGCCUGAUAGAGCAGAUGCAUGAGUCCAUCCAUGUUCUGUCCCUUUGUCUAUCCAGGACACCAUGCUUUUAACCCAGGUUAUUCUUGUCCCUCUCUGGGGUAAGAGCUAACACCAAUACAAACCUGGUUCCAGGUAUCAUCAUCAUGAUUAAUAAUCGCUGAAUAAAAUCAAGGGACAAUGUAGAGGACAGUAGACAAGUCUCUUAAUGUUGUAGGAAAAGGAUUUGUAGUGCUCCCACACAUACUUGCCAUCCUCCUGGUGACUGCAUCCACCCUGAUAAUCUACAAACAGA
rnacentral:lncRNA from 1 species